rnacentral:ncRNA from 2 species
GAAAUGCGAUAAGUAAUGUGAAUUGCAGAAUUCAGUGAAUCAUCGAAUCUUUGAACGCACCUUGCGCCCUUUGGUAUUCCGAGGGGCAUGCCUGUUUGAGUGUCAUUAAAUACCAUCAACCCUCUUUUGACUUCGGUCUCGAGAGUGGCUUGGAAGUGGAGGUCUGCUGGAGCCUAACGGAGCCAGCUCCUCUUAAAUGUAUUAGCGGAUUUCCCUUGCGGGAUCGCGUCUCCGAUGUGAUAAUUUCUACGUCGUUGACCAUCUCGGGGCUGACCUAGUCAGUUUCAAUAGGAGUCUGCUUCUAACCGUCUCUUGACUGAGACUAGCGACUUGUGCGCUAACUUUUGACUUGACCUCAAAUCAGGUAGGACUACCCGCUGAACUUAA